rnacentral:lncRNA from 1 species
UCACUUACACACAUAGAGAUAAAAAAGUUAGGGUUUUCAUCAAACUUAAAUCAGUUUCUACUUUUAUCAUCUGCAACUAUGGUAAGAUUCUUGGGUCCUACUGGUUAUGCAUUGUUUUAUUAGAAAAUUACUUGAGUUUGUACUUAAAAUAAUUCUGAUAAUAGAGAAAAUCUCAUAAGUCUUGAUAGUUAGGAGCCUAAAGUGGUUAAAAUUAAAACUUAUCACAUUGUUC